AAAGCGUUUCGCUUUGCGUGGUGCGCAAAAUGCGUAACGACAGCACGAUUGCGAUUAACGGAGCGUAAGCGACGUUCAACACAAAAAUCAGGCAGUGGAGCGUUUUGGGGUGGGGUGACUGCGUACCUUUUGUAUAAUGGGUCAGCGACUUAUAUUCUGUAGCAAGGUUAACCGCAUAGGGGAGCCGGAGGGAAACCGAGUCUUAACCGGGCGUUAAGUUGCAGGGUAUAGACCCGAAACCCGGUGAUCUAGCCAUGGGCAGGUUGAAGGUUGGGUAACACUAACUGGAGGACCGAACCGACUAAUGUUGAAAAAUUAGCGGAUGACCUGUGGCUGGGGGUGAAAGGCCAAUCAAACCGGGAGAUAGCUGGUUCUCCCCGAAAGCUAUUUAGGUAGCGCCUCGUGAAUUCAUCUCCGGGGGUAGAGCACUGUUUCGGCCAGGGGGCCAUCCCGGCUUACCAAUCCGAUGCAAACUGCGAAUACCGGAGAAUGUUAUCACGGGAGACACACGGCGGGUGCUAACGUCCGUCGUGAAGAGGGAAACAACCCAGACCGCCAGCUAAGGUCCCAAAGUCAUGGUUAAGUGGGAAACGAUGUGGGAAGGCCCAGACAGCCAGGAUGUUGGCUUAGAAGCAGCCAUCAUUUAAAGAAAGCGUAAUAGCUCACUGGUCGAGUCGGCCUGCGCGGAAGAUGUAACGGGGCUAAACCAU
rnacentral:rRNA from 1 species